GAGUUUGAUCAUGGCUCAGGAUGAACGCUAGCGGGAGGCUUAACACAUGCAAGUCGAGGGGCAGCACGGGAUAGCAAUAUUCUGGUGGCGACCGGCGCACGGGUGAGUAACACGUAUGCAACCUACCUCGUACAGGGGGAUAACCCGGAGAAAUUCGGACUAAUAUCCCAUAAUGAUAUUGAGAGGCAUCUUUUAAUAUUUAAAGCUCAGGCGGUACGGGAUGGGCAUGCGGAACAUUAGCUAGUUGGCAGGGUAACGGCCUACCAAGGCUGCGAUGUUUAGGGGACCUGAGAGGGUUAUCCCCCACACUGGUACUGAGACACGGACCAGACUCCUACGGGAGGCAGCAGUGAGGAAUAUUGGUCAAUGGGCGCAAGCCUGAACCAGCCAUCCCGCGUGAAGGAAGAAGGCGCUAUGCGUUGUAAACUUCUUUUCCAGGGGGAGAAUUUUUCCGUCGUGACGGGAAUUGACGGUACUCUGGGAAUAAGCAUCGGCUAACUCCGUGCCAGCAGCCGCGGUAAUACGGAGGAUGCGAGCGUUAUCCGGAUUUAUUGGGUUUAAAGGGUGCGUAGGCGGAUAGAUAAGUCAGUGGUGAAAUUCUGCAGCUUAACUGUAGACUUGCCGUUGAUACUGUCAGUCUUGAGUAUGGUCAAGGCAGGCGGAAUGUGUAAUGUAGCGGUGAAAUGCUUAGAUAUUACACAGAACACCGAUUGCGAAGGCAGCUUGCUGGGCCAUUACUGACGCUGAUGCACGAAAGCGUGGGGAUCGAACAGGAUUAGAUACCCUGGUAGUCCACGCCGUAAACGAUGAUCACUCGCUGUUGGCGAUACACAGUCAGCGGCUAAGCAAAGCAUUAAGUGAUCCACC
rnacentral:rRNA from 1 species